rfam:Aedes albopictus isolate Foshan contig245209, whole genome shotgun sequence.
CAAACGGUUCUAUUCAGCACCAUCGAAAAUUACUAUUCAAGAGUUGU